UUGAUCCUAUAUGGUGUUCUUCAUACGAGAUGCCAUUUGGGCAUAGGAUCUCUGUGAGUUUCUAACUUAGAAAGGAUCUUUUCUUUAGAGAAAACUUUCUGAACAAGUUAGUGUCUAAUCGGAUAAAUGCAGAUAAAUCUCUUCUAUCUGACAUGAAAUCAAACGUUAAGGCAUAAAGAGUGAUCUUUUUGUUCUAAGAGUAGACCAUUACUUACGUUAUUUCUAUUUAUCCGUGCAGGCCACUGCAUUUGCGUAGACUGAUAUCCCCAUAGUAUGUUAAAGUUCUCAGCUUUUUCUACUUAAACAACAUAUUAGAGUUUUAGCUCAUGUACCGGUGACGGGUUCUGAAUUGGCAACAGUUCUUGAACUUGUCUCUCGGUCUCUAUUAUGUUGGGGGGGUACAGCCUAUUGCAUAAGGCGUUUACGAGUAUAUCUAUAGUUAUUUGUCUGUCUUCUAAGACAUUUGGCUUAGAUCUUCGAAGUUUUGAAUUGUAUAAUUAAUUUAGAACUAGAAGUCAAACGACCUAGCCUAUUCUGAUAUUGGAGUAUUCUAGCAAGUGACUGUAGCAAAAGUCUUUGUGAAGAAUAGGUUUGCAGUGAAAUACUAAUCGUGUUUGUUGAUAGCUAGUUUUCCUCGAAACUUGUGUCAGCAAGUCUUCUUUUUCUUCCGAAGCUUACAUAUCAGACUCUGUCUGACCACAAUCUGGUAUGUCGAUAAAAUAUAGUUUUGCUGUAUUUUGGAAAAAGAAGGCACACUAAGACGGCGUAAAGGUCUUUAGUGUAACCCUAAACAGAGGUACGUUAUUAUACAAGUAAGCUCUUCUAUCUUAACUCUCUGGCCCGCGUUGUGGAAUUUAAUUCUUGUAGUACGGAAGUCUUAACAGCAGUUUAUAGCCGCUUGGGAUUGCGGUGAAAGCUCGCUGGUUAGAAUUAUCUUUCACACAAAUGCUAAUGGAUGGAACCGAAAGAUUAUGGAGUAAACUCUUAAAUCGUUAAAGUAGAGGAAAUCAAUAGUAGCACCUUAGUAACCGCCACGGUUCUCCCUUCAUUAGUGAUGUACUAUUGCUUUUGAUGUUUGCGUGAGUAGCGUUAGUCUGACCCAACAGAUUAUUUAGCCAAAGGGUGUGGGGUUCCUAUGACACUCUCAAUCGUCGUAGGGGGGAGGCAGUCUUCUGCAUGGUAAAUGCUUUCCUCAGAAAUUGUGAACUUAAUCACUCCAAUUUCACUCGAUCUCGACUUUUAUAUAUCGCGGACUUUACUACAAUAACCUACGCUUGCAGGAUAUAUGUUUUACAGGAAGUUGAGAUCAAAAUACUGUACUUGAACCGACACUGGCCGCCUCGAGUAUUUCUUCAAUCUUGAUUAGGUGCGACUCAUUUAAGGAACUCGGCAAUUAACCGACUUAAAUUCACUAAAGACGGAUGUAAACACUUGUGUUUGCAGAAGGAAGAAAGAGUGCGACUGUUUAUCAAAAACAUAGGUCUUUGCUAACUUAUAUUACAUCAUGUAUAAAGGCUGAAACCUGCCCAGUGUCUUAUUAGAGUAGGAACUAUUUGUCUACAGAGUCCAGUGUUCCGACUCAACGAUAAACGGCAGCUCUAACUGUAAGGGUUCUAAGGUAGCGAAAUUCCUUGGCAGCUGAUUACUGUCCUGCAUGAAUGGUCCAACGACACUCUAUGUGUCUCGAGUGAGUUCCUUGUGAAAUCACAUCGUCUUGUCCAAAUGCAAGUCAUUUAUCCGAUAAGACGAGAAGACCCCGUGAACCUUAGACACAAAGCCCUCCUGUUAUCUGCUUUAUCGUAGUAUCAUAGAUACUUUGUUGAAACUCAGAAGAGGUUUCAUAUAUCUAAGGAGUUUAUAUCUAACUAAUAUAUUUUCUGGAGAUAGAAACUUCUUCGUUGGUAGGCGGCAUACAUGUAAUGUGUUUGUCUGGGACGGAUUCCUUUAGCGCUGAAACAAAGGAGAGCGAAGAUGAAUUUCUACCAACAUCCCCCGACACCUCAUGGAAGCGCUGAAAAGCGACUCCAGGACAAUAUAGGCCACGAAGUUCCUUCGGGAGCUUCAGUCCCCUCGUGGACGGCCUUCGGCAAUAGGUAUAUAGCCCUUUUGUCGGUUGUAGUGACCGUGCUUAGUUUUUGGGACUUGUUUCUAGCACGAUCAGCUGUCAUUAGGUACUCCGGGGGUAACAGGUCAACCGAUGCCAAGAGAUCCGAUCGACGCUUCGUAUUGAUACCUCGAUGUCGCCUCAAUCUUAUCCCCCCUAAGUAGUUUUAGGGAACGGUUUGGUGUUCGCCAAGUAAAAAGAUACGUGAGGUGGGUUCAAAACGUUGUGAAACAGUUUGGUUUCUAUCUGUCGGACUCCUUGGAAGUGAUACAGGUGACAUUUAAAGGUCAGUACGAGAGGAAAUAACCGUUUAAAAGGCCCCAUUGUGAGACGCGAUGGCCAGGAGCAAGACUGGAUAAUAAUGAUGAGCGGGAACUUAAUUGUUACCUGUAUAAGAUAAAGGCCUUCGAGUUUGACUCAAGUAUUUGUUAUGCCUACCUACCUUGAUACGUGUCCCGUCGAUACACUUCUCGGAAGGUUCGUCACCUGUGUUGCCUCUGUUUAUGUGCCUGGGUUGUACUGCAUUCUUUAUCAGAUGC
rnacentral:rRNA from 1 species